GCCAGGUGCGGUGUCACAUGCCUGUAAUUCCAGCAGCUUGGGAGGCUGAGGCAGGAGGAUCGUGAGUUCAAAGCCAGCUUCAGCAAAAGUGAGGUGCUAAACAACUCAGCGAGACCCUGUCUCUA
rnacentral:sRNA from 1 species